GCCUUCGUGGUGUAGUGGUCAGCACGCUCGACGCGUAACCGAGAGGUACGUGGUUCGAUUCCCGGCGAGAACA
rnacentral:tRNA from 1 species